UUUUGAUCUGCACAGUCAGCACAUGUUACUAUUGAUUAGUACAGAAGUACAGUUGAGCAGUGAUUCCUGUGGGCCCCUUGUGUUAUCUCCUAACCAUUUGCCAGGAAAACAUGGUCCUUUGAUAAUGAUACUUUGAUCUUCUGUCUCUCUGUUAAAAUCUAAAAUCCCUCAGACUUCAUCAAACUCACUAAUGCUAUAAGCUACAAUCUAACGUUUAUUUCCCACAUUCCCAACCAGGGUUACUUCUGCUAGUGGUACUUGAAAAAAUUGUGGAGCAGUUUAAGCCUCUGACGGCUAAGGUCAUUUUCACAUCUUAUAUCUCAUAUCUUCUUAAAUUUACCUUUUUUAAGUAUUUGCAUAUAACUAAGCCCUGUGUGUUUCACAUCAAAAUGUUCGGAACAAACUCAGCUUUCCGUAUAGCUGAGCUUCAAGUUGUC